ACGGAAGGCAGCAGUGGGGGAUAUUGCGCAAUGGGGGGAACCCUGACGCAGCAACGCCGCGUGAGUGAAGAAGUAUUUCGGUAUGUAAAGCUCUAUCAGCGGGGACGAAGAUGACGGUACCCGCAGAAGAAGUCCCGGCUAACUACGUGCCAGCAGCCGCGGUAAUACGUAGGGGACAAGCGUUAUCCGGAUUUACUGGGUGUAAAGGGAGCGUAGGCGGCGAAUCAAGUCAGAAGUGAAAGCCCGCGGCUCAACUGCGGGACUGCUUUUGAAACUGAUUAGCUAGAGUACUGGAGGGGCAAGCGGCAUUCCUGGUGUAGCGGUGAAAUGCGUAGAUAUCAGGAAGAACACCGGUGGCGAAGGCGGCUUGCUGGACAGAGACUGACGCUGAGGCUCGAAAGCGUGGGGAGCAAACAGGAUUAGAUACCCUGGUA
rnacentral:rRNA from 1 species